AGCAGAGUGAGAUCGGCUCCAGGCACCUGUUAUUUAUGCCUCUCUGGAGUCCUGAUGACCAACUUGAUUGGGAGAUUGUGACUGAUGGCGUCUGACUCCUAGAAACUGCUCAGCUGGUCUUUGAAGGAUAGUCUCCGAAGGGCAAUAUCCAGGGUUUUAAACAAGCUUCUCCACAUUCCAAGAAGGAAAUCCAUGCACAAA